rnacentral:rRNA from 1 species
UACGUAGGGUGCAAGCGUUAAUCGGAAUUACUGGGCGUAAGCGUGCGCAGGCGGUUUUGUAAGACUGUCGUGAAAUCCCCGGGCUCAACCUGGGAAUGGCGAUGGUGACUGCAAGGCUAGAGUUUGGCAGAGGGGGGUAGAAUUCCACGUGUAGCAGUGAAAUGCGUAGAUAUGUGGAGGAACACCGAUGGCGAAGGCAGCCCCCUGGGUCAAAACUGACGCUCAUGCACGAAAGCGUGGGGAGCAAACAGG